ACAUGCUCUUUGCACAUUCUCUACAAUUGUAUCAUGACAUGGGAACGAUUCAAUGACAUCAAAUCGAUGAUCCAAUAAGGUCAUAUGAUAACAUGGUUGUGCAAUAAACAUCAAUAUCAGACAUGUGAGAAGAUAAAUACGGUAGGAGAAAAAUAAUAAUUCCCCGACUUGGGAGUGAGAUCUCAUUCCUCGGGGUAAGAUGCUUCAGCUGUCAAACACUCACCAAGCCUCAUAUUUGUCAACUUCAGAACUUUCCCCCUUAAUUAGGUUUAGAGUCCAUCGUCUCUUCCCAAGGGGAUUAAAGAUUAUGUUUAUGCCAUAUACCUAGCAACCACUGGAUCACCCUGGUGUGAAGGAUUUAGAUUCAGAUUCAGAUAUUUCCUUGUGUCUACAAUACAACAAUACAAUAGUACAGAUAGUGUUGGACAAUCAUACCAUUAUAUCAAUCCACCAGUUAUAUUAUAUAUAUCUUUCUCUGGAAGAACACAUUGCAUGGUAUAGCAUUGAAUGAUAGCAGUAUGCGAUACAUUUACUUACAUGAUGUCAUUGAUAUUAAAUGAUAAUUAUCAUACAGUUAAUGCACUGAUACUUUAUCAUUGAUUCCAUCAUCGACUGUAUUUCCAAUUCAGAACAAUUCCUUGAUGGUAUUAAAGCCGAGCAGCAUGUAAGUACUUUGAAGUUGUUUUUAGACAUACUUUUUAAGAAAAGUUUGUUAUAAAAAUGCAACAGGACCUAUGCAAUUUCAUCAACUUUCAUGUUUUUCUUAUUAUUGGAUUAAAUUUUAAUGGAAAUUUCUUAGUUGUGGAACUUUUCUUUUAAAAUUCUCUAAUGCCUUCCUAUGGACAAUUUUAAGUCCAGGAACUUCUUCAUUUGGCAUAUAUAAGUUCAUCUUACCUGGGGUUCCCUUCUCAAUAACCAAGAAGUCUAUAGGGUCAUGAUAUUGCACUUGUAGCAUGAAGGGCUAACUACCAUGUUUAUUCAAAUGAAUGAAUUAUCUUGACUUUCUUUGAAGGUCACAGGGUCAAAUAUCUAUAAACAACAACUUAUUGUAAUUAAAUGGGUCAUGGAAUUGGGCCAAUAUCAUCUAGUGAGAUGAAGGGCUAUGAAGUAUGUUCAAAUGAAUGACCGAUCCGAGCCAGCUAUCAAGGUCAUACUGGGGUCAAAUAUGCUAAAAUCUUUAAACAGUUUCUUCUCAAUAACCAAGAAUCACAGGAUUAUGAUAUAGGGUAAAGUUUGUUUGUUCAAAUGAAUGACACUGUUGUUAAAAAUUUAAUGGCCUUGCAAACCUGUCAAGGUCAUAGGGUUCAAAUGUGUUUCAAUAUUCAAAUGUCUUCUAAAUAACCAAAAGGCCUAGGGUCAUGAUAGUUAGUCAAUUAAUAUGCUGAGAUGAAUAUCAUGGCUAAUAGAUUUAUUCAUGACAAAUGAAUAAAGCUUUAUAUCUUUUCAAGGUCACAGGUCUAUGUGUUAAAUGUUAGUUUAUAUGCAAACAUCAUCUAUCACUGUACAUAUAGCAUCUGGUGAGUGAUAAAACCCAUGGGCCUCUUGGUAUUCAAACAUAUUUACUGUGACAUUGCAACUGCAGUCAUGAAAAAGAAGAAUAUAUUUUUUGCUACAAGUGACAAUAGUUGACCAGAAAAUGUGGUACAUGCCAAUAAUCUGAACAGUCAUUAAAUGCAAUUAUAUUUUAAAAUAAACACAACCGUGCCUCAUCACUGCUACAUGUAGGUGUGCCUCAUCACUGCUACAUGUAGGUGUGCCUCGUAUGUCAUAUUAAUACAACUUUUUGUUGUGUACCAAGUGCUUAAUAAUACAAUUAAUUAUCACAUUUAAGGAUGACCCCAGAGGCUACCCUAUACUUUCACAAUUACAAGUGAAUGCAAUUAUUAAAAAUUCAGGCUUAUUAUAUUUUAGUAUCUUUUUAAAAAGAAUUUACAUUUUAUUUGUAUUGUUUUGUCCAUAACACUUUUAUAAAAGUCAUUUUAUCACAAAAUAUUUCUUCUAUCUAUAUUCUUAAAACAUUAAAUGUUUAUAUCUUAUACACUUGUAUUUGAAUUUGAAAGUGUUAACUCUUUGAACAGGUUAUAAAUACAAUCAUGUAACAUUCUCUAAAAUCUUGUCCUGUAAACAAGGUCUAUCCAGUCAAUAUCAUAGCUUCAUAGGUUUAAGUAAAUGCACGUGUCCGUUAAAUCAUUACAGUUUUGUAGUUGAUGUGUCCAGCAAACAUCCCCAAUGGCAAUAAACAACGGUAUACUUAUGAAUUUUUUUAUGCCAUAGACAUAUUUAAUGUUGAAUGUAUUUUGUGAUAUAUAUAUAUGUUUUUUAUAGAUAAUUUUGUUUCUGUACAAGUUUAUUUAGGAGUAAUAUAAUUGAAAAGAUAUACUGAUUUUUUAUUGAAAUUGGAAUGUUUUAAUGUGGAAUGGUGAUGUAUUAAAACAGUCAAACCCUAA